CACGUAGAGCGCAAGCGUUGUCCGGAAUUAUUGGGCGUAAAGAGCUCGUAGGCGGCUCUUUAAGUCGGAGGUGAAAUCCUGGAGCUCAACUCCAGAACUGCCUUCGAUACUGUAGAGCUUGAGUUCGGGAGAGGUGAGUGGAACUGCGAGUGUAGAGGUGAAAUUCGUAGAUAUUCGCAAGAACACCAGUGGCGAAGGCGGCUCACUGGCCCGAUACUGACGCUGAGGUGCGAAAGCGUGGGGAGCAAACAGG
rnacentral:rRNA from 1 species